rnacentral:rRNA from 1 species
GCUUACGGCCAUACCAGCCUGGGUACGCCCGAUCUCGUCUGAUCUCGUAAGCUAAGCCGGGUCGGGCCUGGUUAGUACUUGGAUGGGAGACCGCCUGGGAAUACCAGGUGCUGUAAGGA